GGUUUUAACCCAGUUACUCAAGGUACGCUGGAGUUCCGACCAUUCGAAAGAAUGUGUCGAACACAAAUCUAAUUUUUGGAUCCGCUUCGCUGGGGUUAUCCGGCGAGGCAAAA
rnacentral:sRNA from 1 species